UUUUUCUUUUUUUUUUGUCUUUUUAGAGCCAAACCCAUGGCAUGUGGGGGUUCCCAGGCUAGGGGUCGAAUCAGAGCUACAGCUGCCGGCCUACAUCACAGCCACAGCAACACCAGAUCCGAGCCCCGUCUGUGACCUAUGCCACAGCUCAGGACAACCCAGAUCCUUAACCCACUGAGCAAGGCCAGGGAUCCAAACUGCAACCUCAUGGUUCCCAGUAGGACUCGUUUCCGCUGCGCCACCACGGGGACUCCUCAGGUCACUUUUUCUUCUAGGACUUCUUGCCUUCAUUUUGAAAUGCAAAUCAGAAGCAAGCUCUGAGCUUUCCUGUCCACGCAAUACCUGCAGCAUCUGCAGGCCCGGUGCACCCACGCAAAUACACCUGGGCACGGUCACCAGGGAGUUUCCCAUCAGACCAUUGAUGUCAGCCAGGUGGCACCUUCGGAUGUACUUUAACCUAGUACCCCGUGUGCUGACGACAAGUGCCAAGCUCUUGACAAAUGUCUUCUGAAGGGAUCUGUGCGGAAAUUAAACAUGUGAUGGUGGAUCUCUGAGAGAAACGGAGCAUCCCUUGAAACGAGUGGUGGGCAGGAGCCAGCCUUGCAAGCGUGAGAACAGCUGUUAAACUGCAGAAGCUCUACAAGCUGCUGGUGGUCAACCACUGAGACCGUGGCAGGAAGAUGUGCCCAGAGCACCCCUCAACCGCCCAUCCUCUCGCCUCUGCCCGACCGGAGAGUCUCUCUGCUGGCACAGCACUGCAUGACAGGGUCAGAAGGAUUCUAAAAUAUGGGGCUUGCUGGGCUGAGCCGCCAGGCACUUUCUGUAGGCGGACAUCUCAAAAAUGACUCCCUGGAAUUAAAAUCGCGGUCAAUGAAAACCUAGGAUUCUCUCCACGGCCCCGCCCCUCUCUCCUUCUAACACAGACACAUUAUCUCGGAGGAGAAAAUUGACUAGAAAUGCCACUAUUUUAUUUGACCAUUAGUAGCAAUCAAACUUUUCACAGCUGAUCAACAGAAAGCUCAGCCAGGAGUUCCCAUUGCGGCUCAGCACGUUAAGAACCCGACAUCAUGUUCGUGAGGAUGCAGGUUUGAUCCCUGGCCUCGCUCAUGGGUUAAGGAUCUGGAGUUGCUGUGAGCUGCUGCAUAAGUCAGAUGUGGCUCAGAUCCGGUGUGGCUGUGGCUGAGGCAUGGGCUGGCAGCUGCAGCUCUGAUUGGACCCCUGGCCUGGGAACUUCCAUGUGCCACAGGUGCAGCCCUAAAAAGAAAAAAAUAAAAGUAAAAAAAAAAAUUAAAAAAAAAAGAAUGCUUAGCCUACGGCUCUUUAUUCUGCACCCCCCUUCUAAUUCCCAGAAAGAAAUAUUUAUUGUCUCCAAAAUCCCAUAGGAGAACUAAGCUCUUAAGAAAUUUUGCUCCCUAUCAACUCCGAAUACAAUAUUCUGGUGGAUAAAGGACAGAAACCAGGGACCCACAAGUGAGUAUCUCUCACAGUCCACCUUCAUUCAACUCUUUGCUGACUUUGCUCACAGAGGAGAGGGUAUAACAUGAAUAAUUCAAAUCCCCAGACAACCCAAAAAACUACAUUUGAGCCCAACUCUCAACUACAGCCAUAACCAGGGAGAAAAUAAGCCAGCCUACAUUUCAUUAUCUUCCAUUUCUCUUGUCUGAACCAACUGAGGAUGGCAUUGAGGGGUAAAACAAAUGAUCCAAGAGGGAAAAGGAAUAAUCCACAAACUAUAUAAACAGCUCCUUUUAUGAGCAAGAGUUGACAGUGUUUGAAAUUGGAGUAAGGUCUCCAAUAACAUUUCAGAGGACUGGUAUCUAGGAAGCGAGGUGAGUGAUGACAAGAGGUCGCCUACACCUAAAGUGAAUCUUCUAUUAAAAAUCACAGCGGAAUAUGCAGUGUCAACUCCGGUGCAGUCUGUGUGACAUUCCCAUGGAAUUAUAUGUAUAUAAAAUGGUUAAAAAUAACAAAGCAGAUGAAAAACAGUCUCGUCGACCUUCAUUGCUAGUAAGAGUAAUAUGUUCCUUCAAUCCUGGGGUUUUACACCAGCAGUGAUCAAAACAGCUCCAUAGCAAUAAAAAAUCAUCAUGCCCUCCUUUCUUUGGAUUGCACUUUUCCAUUUGCAAGGCUCUUCUUCACUGUCUGUAGGGUGAACAAGCAGCUAUGAUUAUCUCCAUUUCACAGAAGGGGACAGGCAGGUGUAGGCUUUAAAUGAUUUGUAGGGUGUUGCAAGGGUGAUAAGUAGCAGAAAGGGAAUUUGGCCCCAGGCUUCCAAGAGUGUGUUCUUCCCACUGUGCCACAUGGGCCCUCAAUAGUCCCAUCACCAUGCCUGCCUCACCAAGCACUGGAUGACAAAGUCUCUCACCAAGCGGUAUAAAGUAAACCCUUACCCAGGGAAUCCUGCAGCCAAGUUUCUGAAGUGUAAGCUGAAGGCAUACAAGAGAAAGAGGCUCAUGAGGGCAAUAACCGAAGCCAGCUUUUAACAAUGAAUCCAUGUCCUUCCAUAUAUAAAGAUAUGCAUGACAUCUACAUACACAAUAGAAUGGCUAAAAAGAGACCUGACAAUAACAAGUGUUGGCAAGGAUGUGGAGCAACUAGAACUCUGAUAUGUUGCUGCUGAGAAUGCAAACACUCACUCACCAUAGGGCCCAGGAAUUCCACCCCUUGGUGAUCACCCCAAAGAAACAAAAACAUAUUUUCCCACAAAGACUGUCUAUGAAUGUUUAACAGCAGCUUUAUUCAGGAUCGCCCAUUCAUACAUUGGAAAACUACCCAGCACUAAAAAGGAAUGGAUUUCUGAUGGAUGCAACCACAUGGAUGAAUCUCAAAAGUAUUAUACUGAGUAAAAGAAGUCAGACCCAAAAGGCUGAUUCCACCUGUAGGACAUUCUACAAAAGAAAAUCGUAGAAGAAGGGAGCAGAUCGGGGCUGCUUGAGGAUGAGGUUGAAAACUCUAAAAGGGCACCAGAGGAGCUCUUAGGGUGAUGGAACUGCUCUGUGUCUCAAAUGAGGUGAGAGAUACAAGGCCACAUACACUGUCAAAAUGCAUGGAAUUGUACACCUACAAAGUGAACUGUAUUAUAUGCAAAUUAGACUUCAAUGAAUUUCACUUAAAGGGAAAAACCUGAAUGAGGGCCAGAGGUUUUUAAAUCUGCUUCUAUAAGAUCAGAUUCCUUCAAAUCCUACUUCUUAGACACGGGGUACCUGAGAGCAAAGUGACGCUGGAUGUGGGGUGGAAUGAAUGGGACUCGGGCGCACUUUGCCUCCAGCUGACCAUACCCCUUUGGGAGCCCUGGUCCCUCUCUGAGCAUCACCCCACUCCCAGGCAGAGCAAGGACGAUGCCAGGUCUAUGCCUGACAGAUUAUAAUGGGUGGUAGUUUCUUCAAUUACAGAACCUGGGACAGGGGUCUGGCAUCAGGAUGGACGGUCUUUGCUGUAAAGAUUUUUUUUUUUAAAGCAAAGUGCAGCAUCCUUAGGCAGAAAAAAUUGAAGGGAAAUGAAUUGGCAGCAAAUUGUUAUGCUCAGCUUCUCAAACACAUUUGAAUGAGUGAGUCUUUAAAAGCUUCUGUCAGCUCACUUUAGAAAUGAAAUUUGAUAUUAUUAAGACUAUCUGAUACGAAACAAUUAUAUAAGUAUAAAUGGGAGAUUCAUUUAAAGGGUCAUGAUGAAAUCCCUGGAAAAUGCCUUCCUGGUCCUUUUCUUUUUUUUUUUUUUUCUUUCAUCUGACUAAAUAAGGUCAGAUAAGAUGAGGACAAAACUAAGCCAGCAUGCAGAAUUCAAAUUACUUGAAUUACUUUUUUUCUUUUCUGCAGCUGAACUUCAGAAGGUGGGAGGGGACGUGAACAGCCUCAACUGAAGCUAAGUCCUUCUGUUCUGUACCAAAUGGCAAUUACUCUUCAACUAUUUUUUUUCAAUCCAUCCACUCAGCAAACAUCCACCACCUCAAACAAAUUUGCUAAAAGAGGCAGAAGAGCGUAGGGGUUCCAAACACAGCUUAAAAAUCGAGACUUGCUGAGGCUGAGGGAGUGUGUGUCAAGGCCAUUUUAUUAUUUUCUCUACUUUAUACAUUUGUAAAAUUCUAUAAUAAGAAAAGUGACAAAGAUGACAGGGGGAUAACAAGUGUUCAGCAGAGAGAGAGAGAGGAAGAGAGAGAGAAGAUGCUCCAGGAAGCCAGAAGACCAGGGUGCAGACCCCUGCUCCUACAUGCUUGCUGUGUGCCCUUAGGCGAGUUUCUUAACCUUUCUGUGCUUCGGUUUCCUCUUGGUAAAAUAAGGGUAAUAACAAUACCAACUCACAAGGUUGUUGUGUGGAAGAAAUGAGUUUAAAGCACAUUUCCUUUUUUUUAAUCUUUUUUUUCUUGUCUUUUUUAACAGUCACACCUGUGAUAUAUGGAAGCCGGCCUAAGGGCAACUGAGGCCACAGCCACAGCCCUGAAUCCUUAACCCACUGAGCAAGGCCAGGGGUGGAACCUGCAUCCUCACAAAGACAACUUCGGGUUCUUAACCCAUUGAGCCACAAUGGGAACUCCUUAAAGCCCAUUUUUUAUACAUGUAAGGGAGCAGAGAGACAUUUAAAAGUACAUACCAUAUGUCAGACAUUAUACAGAGAGUUGUGACAUAUACAAAUACACACACACACACACACACAUUCCUAAAGCCUCUAAAUCAGUACAAAGUAGUUCACAGACUAUAUUAAAUCUCUGAUCCUGAGUUGAUUCCCUGCAUUGUGCUCCGGUCAGGUUUCGUAACAAAUUUAUCGAAUGGGCUGAACCCCAUGGAGUAAAAAUGCAAUGGCUCCAUUUUUCUCCCAUGGCCUCCACCACGGUGCUCUGUCAGGUCCCUUCCCUGUCCGCUGAUCAUCUCAGACAGAGCCGUCAGCCUUCUCCUCCCUCUCAGUUACAAGAACAAAAUAUGCUAGGAAAUCACGACCGAAAGUGAGGAUUUAAAAGGUGCAACACAGCCCUGUGGGACCCCUUCAACUCCCGUCCAGCUCCCAGCAUCGUCCCUCUCCUCAGCUGGGGCCCCAUGCGAGGGUCAAGGCCCCACACAAGCAGAUGGGCCGCCGGCUGGGCUUCCAGGCUUCCUCCCCUCUGCCCCCCAACCUCCUGGCUCCUCCAAGACCCAGCAGAGGAGAGUGGAUGGGACAGAGCAAGGCAAGCAAGCUCCCACCUUUUGAAGACUUUGCUGCUCCAUUUUCUUUAGAUUCCACAUAUGUUGUGAUGAUGGCUGUACAAUUAUAAAUAUAAUUUUUAAAAAUUUUAAAAAAGAAAAAAAAGAAAAACUUUGCUGCUCCAGUCUGUUGAUACCUCCUGGCAGGGGAUCAAAGGUGAGCUUCCCUGUGUGGCAUUUCCAAGGGCUCUGGCCAGGCCGUGAGGCUCUCUGUACUGUACCUGAUACAGUGAUGAGCCCUCCUAGGGACUGUAUUGAACCUGACCUUGGCGGUCUCAGUGCCCAUGUCAGCUCCACAGCAGACCCCCCCUUCCAGCCUGCCUCUUGCCCCGCCCCAGGUCUGCAGGGGUCUGUGGGAGACUCGCACCUGCUUACCAUGUAGGUGGAAGGAGACACUGCGAGGCACCCACCCUGCCACCUGCUGGCCUUCUGACUUUAGAAUUCCCCCAGCCUCCCCCGCCCCAAUCCAAGAAACUCAUGUCAGUUUCUUCCACAUUCCAGAGGCCCCUAAGAACAUUCGCAUCCAACACGGCUCCCUGGUCCAAAGAUGAGCCUAUAAGAGCUAUGGCCCAGAAAAGUAAAUAAUUAAAAAAAAAAAAAGGAGUUCCCGUUGUGGUGCAUCGGGUUAAGAACCCAACUAGUAUCUGUGAGGAUGUGGCCCCUCUCAGUGGGUUAAGGAUCCGGCAUUGCCAUGGGCUGUGGUGUAGGUCGCAGAUGCAGCUAGGAUCCACGUUGCUAUGGCUGUGCAGCUCCGAUUAGAUCCCUAGCCUGGGAACUUCCACAGGGGCAGCCCUUUAAAAAAAAAAAA
rnacentral:lncRNA from 1 species